rnacentral:rRNA from 1 species
UCAGGAUGAACGGCUGGCGGCGUGCCUAACACAUGCAAGUCGAACGGAGUACGAGAGCUUGCUUUGUAACUUAGUGGCGGACGGGUGAGUAAUGUAUGAGCAACCUGCCUUUCAGAGGGGGACAACAGUUGGAAACGACUGCUAAUACCGCAUAAUGUGCGGGGAGGGCAUCCUCCCUGUACCAAAGGAGCAAUCCGCUGAAAAGAUGGGCUCAUAUCUGAUUAGUUAGUUGGCAGGGUAACGGCCUACCAAGACUGCGAUCAGUAGCCGGACUGAGAGGUUGAACGGCCACAUUGGGACUGAGAUACGGCCCAGACUCCUACGGGAGGCAGCAGUGGGGAAUAUUGGGCAAUGGGCGAAAGCCUCGACCCAGCAACGCCGCGUGAAGGAAGAAGGUCUUCGGAUUGUAAACUUCUUUUAUGAGGGACGAAGGACGUGACGGUACCUCAUGAAUAAGCCACGGCUAACUACGUGCCAGCCGCCGC